CGGACGCAGUACUUUAGCAGGCCAUUUUGUCUGCGUUUUAGGGACAUCUGGCAACAAUGUUCGGUUUUCAGCAACCUUGAAUAAGUGAGCAUUUUGUGAAUGGUUGAUGUUUGUGACUGUUUGUAAGGUUGUAUUUUGGUGGUUCUGUCAAGUUCACAAGUUUGUGUCGAAUUCUCGCAAUCAGGAAGAUAAAUACUGUGCCCUAAUUGAUAUGGUUUAGUGCGGGUCGCGGUGCCAUCAUCUGAGCAUGUCCACCCUGGACUCGAGCGGCUCCUCGGGCUACCAGCACCCAGCGCACGCGCGGCCGGCGCCGCCCGCCGGUCCGCCCUGGUACAGCUCCGGACCGCCGCCGACACCGCCGUCACCCGUGCCCAGCAUGCCCUACUCUGGCCUGAUCCCCCCGGCGCGUGUACCUCACGUGGUCCGCGCCGGCGGCAGCGCCGGUCCGCCGCCGCCGGCCGCGCCGCCGCCGCCGCCGCCCGCCAGCAGUAGUCACAGUCACAGUCACGCGGCCGCCGCCCAGGAGGCCGUCCUCUGGCCCUACCGCGGCCACUGUGCCAGCUUCCACAACUUCUGCUACUACUUCUUGCAAAUCUUCUUCAUCGGCGCUGCCAUGUCGGGCGUGGCCCUGGUGCUCGCCGACGCGUUCUUCCGACAGCGCUGGCCUCACGUGCACGGUCUUCUCUUCAUCGGCGUACUUCUCGUCUUCGUCUCCGCCGUGAUGCUAUUCGUGCUGUGUCAGCGCGGCGCGGGGGUGCGCGGCGCGGCGGAGAAUCAUGUCGCCAAGGAGGGCGGCGCGCGCGUGCCGGAGGCGAUACCUCUCCGCGACGUGCCGGCGGUGUACGUGCAGCCGGGCCUGGCGACGCUGCGGAGACAGCAGCCGGGCGGCGGAGUGCCCGUACCGGAGCCGUACGCCGAGAGCGAGUAUAGUCACCCGUGGGAUCAGGUGACCGGCAUCAGUAGCAGGCCAGAUAUGAGUGAGGUCUGCUCCAUGGGAACCCUCAACAGCCGAGGGCGGCCGCCCGGACCCCGGCACUGGCAAUGACGUCAGACGUGACGUCAUACUCACACAGUACAGUGACGGCGUAUAGGGCGCAGUGACGUCACACAGGCGGCCUGUGACGUCACACGGACGGCACACAAUGCACCGGACCGUGGACGUCAUUCUUGUCAAGCACAGCGCUGUGACGUAAUACGUACGGCACUGUGACGUCAUAGAUGGUUUCCGUGACGUCAUAUCGGCCAGUUACACUGUGCGGCGCCCUCCCUCUCUCCUCAGAAGGGUUCCGUUCUGUUGCCAUCGGUGCUCUGUAGCCAUUGGGGGAGGGCUGAACGGCCAUAUUUGAGAUCUGCUGACGUGGGGUCGUCGGAAGGGUCACUCGGAUCUGAUGAGCUUUAUACGGGAGGCGUGAGCGAGCUUUUCUCAGAUAUUUAUGUGGAUUUAUUUGGUGGCACGUGCCGUGUUUAUGCCGUUGUUCCUUGCUGUGUUGUCGAAGAGCGUUUUAUACGUAAAACGGCUCUGCCAAAAGGGUGUUUUCUGUGUGUAUUUUGUUGUGACGUCAUGUAUGAAUGAUUCGUUGGGUAUUGUAUUCGAUACGUUUGCGCAGACGUGUUUGUGGUGUAUUCAGUGUUGCGCGAUUGUCUCCUAGGUUCACGUCAGUCCCGGUUAUAUUUGUGUAGGGACGUCGACCGCGGUGUUCGCUCCGCGCUCUGUGGGAAAUGGAGAUGGGCGCUGUGGUCCGGAGUCCCUUAAUCUGAUCACGAAGGUUGUUGAGGCCAGUACGAUCAUCUCUUCAGCUUGGACGUGACUGGACCCUGGAUCGUGGCCGUGUGCAAUGUCCCGCUCGACUGUCCGAUUGACAAUUUCUUUGGGUGUAUUCUGGGUGUAGCGGGUCGCGGCACACUUGUGGGUGCAGCCAGUGGGUGCAAGGGAGUGCCGAUAUGCCUCCAUAACACCGACGUGAACUAAAAGUGGGGGUUUUCGUGUCAAAUAGGUAUUGCACAAGGCACAAAUCUGUAACCACCGCAGUUGAAAGCAUCGCACAUUUCUUACCGCUGGCUGUUUUUGUCGAAAUGUUCGCGAAGCUGUGCUUCACGAGGUACUCACAAAUGUUAUCGAUUGAAGCUUAGGGUCAUUGCACAAUAGCGGGCUUAUGAGCGUAUUUGUGUUGAAUCAUAUCAAAACGGUGUUCUCUGAGGUUCUGCGCGUUUUGUAGCGGUGUGUGAACGUGCUAUGUGUUCGCUUGUGUCUCCUGCCGCGGCGGAUCUCGUUAGCGCUGAAUUGUCGGCAGAAUGUCGACGAAUUCGGCGCGUCUUGCCAACCGGUGCCGCUUGGCUUGACCUGUUCCUAAUGCUAGGUACGUAUGUGCGCGAGUAAUCGCUUUGGAGUUUGUGUGUGGAAUGCUAGGGUCACAUAUGUAUGAAUGUGUGUAUUUAAACUGGAUUAUAAUGCAGUAAUAAACGGAAUAUUUUAUCAAACA
rnacentral:misc_RNA from 1 species